UGCAGUCGAACGGAGAAUUUCAAUAAGUUUACUUAGAGAAAUUUUUAGUGGCGGACGGGUGAGUAACGCGUGGGUAACCUACCCAUAAAGCCGGGACAACCCUUGGAAACGAGGGCUAAUACCGGAUAAUCUUAAGCUUUGGCAUCAAAGUUUAAGGAAAGGUGGCCUCUGAGUAUGCUACCGAUUAUGGAUGGACCCGCGUCUGAUUAGCUAGUUGGUGGGGUAAAGGCCUACCAAGGCGACGAUCAGUAGCCGGCCUGAGAGGGUGAACGGCCACACUGGGACUGAGACACGGCCCAGACUCCUACGGGAGGCAGCAGUGGGGAAUCUUCCGCAAUGGACGAAAGUCUGACGGAGCAACGCCGCGUGUAUGAUGAAGGUCUUCGGAUUGUAAAGUACUGUCUUUGGGGAAGAAUGACUGGUUUGAAAAUAUUGAGCCAGUAUGACGGUACCCAAGGAGGAAGCCCCGGCUAACUACGUGCCAGCAGCCGCGGUAAUACGUAGGGGGCAAGCGUUGUCCGGAAUUAUUGGGCGUAAAGGGCGCGUAGGCGGAUGUUUAAGUCCGGUGUGAAAGAUCAGGGCUCAACCCUGAGAGUGCAUCGGAAACUGGGCAUCUUGAGGACAGGAGAGGAAAGUGGAAUUCCACGUGUAGCGGUGAAAUGC
rnacentral:rRNA from 1 species